GAUGAACGCUGGCGGCGUGCCUAAUACAUGCAAGUCGAGCGAACGGACGAGAAGCUUGCUUCUCUGAUGUUAGCGGCGGACGGGUGAGUAACACGUGGAUAACCUACCUAUAAGACUGGGAUAACUUCGGGAAACCGGAGCUAAUACCGGAUAAUAUUUUGAACCGCAUGGUUCAAAAGUGAAAGACGGUCUUGCUGUCACUUAUAGAUGGAUCCGCGCUGCAUUAGCUAGUUGGUAAGGUAACGGCUUACCAAGGCAACGAUGCAUAGCCGACCUGAGAGGGUGAACGGGCCAACUGGAACUGGGAAACGGUCCCGACCCCCACGGGAGGCAGCAGUAGGGAAUCUUCCGCAAUGGGCGAAAGCCUGACGGAGCAACGCCGCGUGAGUGAUGAAGGUCUUCGGAUCGUAAAACUCUGUUAUUAGGGAAGAACAUAUGUGUAAGUAACUGUGCACAUCUUGACGGUACCUAAUCAGAAAGCCACGGCUAACUACGUG
rnacentral:rRNA from 1 species